rnacentral:tRNA from 1 species
UUGUGAAUUAAGUAUAAUGUAUAUUUCACUUACAAUGAUAAGGUCUAUUUAUUAGAAUUCACAUAUAAUAU